GCCGGCAGAGGGUUGCUGCCGAAGGAACGGACCACAAUACCCAGAGAGCCUUGCGGACGGUGUCCCGGAUGCUGAGGGCCCGCGACGGUUUGUGGGGCUUGCAGUCCGGUUGCGUUACUUCUUAACUGCGUUUCCAGGAUAAUGAUUACCUCGCCUCCGUACUUAUCCCAGCUUGGGCUCGGUUCUGAUGCGGGUCCCUAGCAGUGGGCCUUUGAGCUGCAGGCACCUGGACUCCGCCAACAUCCUCAUUCCUGCGACGGGACCAGGCAUGAAGGAAAGUCGGCCUGCUGGAAGUCCGCUUGAGAAAGUUCUGCUAACGAAGAGCAGUACAACCCAAUGCUCCGUUCCCGCGCCUUUGCCGAGGCGCUCCAUAAACCUUUACCAGCCCUGAAACCUGGAACUCCACACGACUUGAGUCCCUCAACUCGACACCUGGUCCGACCAACGUGUUUCCAGUACAUUAAGGGCCAAGAACGAAUUUAAUCUCCGUCUAGCGUAGUCUCAGGUACACGGCAAGUUGCAGGAGCGUCGAAAAGCAUCAGAGGAAGGGCCUGGGUUUGAGGAGGGAGUUCGACUUAUAACCCACUCUCGUGCUCUGGCCCUCAGCCUUUCUACUGGGGAAAAGGUCUCCUCCCCUCUUCCCGCCAGUUGGGCGAAGUUCUUGACAGAUAUUUUAACACUUUGUUUUCCAUAUUGAAUCUAUUCAAAACCCUUGUUGUACAGGCUAAUUACAUUUUAUUAGAGAACGUUAAAUAAUGAUAAUUUCAUUAAAGAAACAUUCGAUUAACC